CGGGGGCGGCGGGCUACACAUGCAGUCGAGCGAGAUCUUCGGAUCUAGCGGCGGACGGGUGAGUAACGCGUGGGAACGUACCCUCUUCUGCGGGAUAGCCACUGGAAACGGUGAGUAAUACCGCAUACGCCCUUCGGGGGAAAGAUUUAUCGGAGGAGGAUCGGCCCGCGUUGGAUUAGGUAGUUGGUGGGGUAAUGGCCUACCAAGCCUACGAUCCAUAGCUGGUUUUAGAGGAUGAUCAGCCACACUGGGACUGAGACACGGCCCAGACUCCUACGGGAGGCAGCAGUGGGGAAUCUUAGACAAUGGGCGCAAGCCUGAUCUAGCCAUGCCGCGUGAGUGACGAAGGCCUUAGGGUCGUAAAGCUCUUUCGCCUGUGAUGAUAAUGACAGUAGCAGGUAAAGAAACCCCGGCUAACUCCGUGCCAGCAGCCGCGGUAAUACGGAGGGGGUUAGCGUUGUUCGGAAUUACUGGGCGUAAAGCGCACGUAGGCGGAUUGGAAAGUAUGGGGUGAAAUCCCAGGGCUCAACCCUGGAACGGCCUCAUAAACUUCCAGUCUGGAGUUCGAGAGAGGUGAGUGGAAUUCCGAGUGUAGAGGUGAAAUUCGUAGAUAUUCGGAGGAACACCAGUGGCGAAGGCGGCUCACUGGCUCGAUACUGACGCUGAGGUGCGAAAGUGUGGGGAGCAAACAGGAUUAGAUACCCU
rnacentral:rRNA from 1 species